CUAAAAGCACUCUGUGUGGGGAACAUGAGAGCCAGACCAAAGCUCAGAGGAACCAACCUGGACCUCCACCCAGCUCUAUGUCCUUAAAGAGUGACCAGUCUAAACAAGGCAUCAUUGAUUUUAAAGUCCAGCCUGCUGCAGAGAGAGGUCAGAGGUCACAGUCUGCAGGGUCCAGCCAUCCGUCUGUGAGGAGUGACCGGUCCAAAGGUCGACCUCCAAACUUCAGUGGUGAACCUGGACCAACGAGGUCAAGAGCUGUGAUGAGCUCCUUUAGAUGUUUGUGUUUAUCCUGUGCGACCGUGGUUCAUGGGGUUGGGAAGCUCAUCUUGUAACCCGAAGGUUGCCAGUUUGAUCCCCUGCUCUGUCUGUCUUGGUCGUUGUGUUCUUGGACAAGACACUUCACGUACUGCCUAAUGGCGUUGGCCAGAGGGGCCGCUGGCGCAAUAUGGCAGCCUCGCCAUUCAUUAAAAAGAAAACAAUGAAACAAAAAGAUAAAAAUAUUAGACUUCAUUUCUUUUUCAGGAUAGUUCUAAGUACAAGUGUUAGGGUUCAGAAAUUGAGGAGGAAGACCAAAAAUAAUGACCACUGAUCCUGCCGGGUGCAAUUAGACGAAGAUUUUAAUGAAUACACAUGUGGAGUCCAACACUGUGCAGAUUCAGUGUUGAACUGUCUUACAAUAGUCAGAACAAAGACUUUAUAGGGGUGAAAAUAGUACAGCCCCCUCUUCUGUUGCCAGACAGAUCCAGUACAGCAUACGUCAAUCCAAAACCACAACCGUUCAGUCAACCCUUGACACAGUUUAAAGAACACCGUCUUCGGCUCGAACCGAGGUGCUUCCCCCAGCUUCGGUGUCGCUUAUCUCUGGGACAUCUGGUGUACUUCCUGGAACAGACUAACACGUACGCACCCAAACUUUGCAGUUAUAGCAA